rnacentral:lncRNA from 1 species
UUGUACAGUAAUUUGCUUUAUAUAUAUAUAAUACAUUCAUUAUAAAUAAUGUGUAAGUUGGUUCAUCUUUCAGUUUUACCUGAUGUUUCAAGGACAAUAUAUUACACCAGAACAAAAAAAAAUACACAAUUGUUUUCAUUUACACAGAAGUCAUUUGUCAUGAAAUGACAGCACCUGUCACUGAACAGGAGACUUAACAGGUAAAUGAUGGAAAACCUGAGAGACAAUGAUAGCAUUUGCUGAAAGUAAACAAAAAGAUGAUUUCUCUUUAUAGAACCAGACCAUUCCUUGCUCUACCUUCCACAUAAUCUGGCUAAGUUAAAACAUGGUAGAAUCCUUCCUCCCCCCCCCCCCCGCCUUUUCUCCAAUCAGAAUUCAAAGAACUCAAUCUUCCUUGUAUUUAAAGUAGUAAUUAGAGAACGUGUGACAAUGUAUACUUUUAAAUACUUCUAAAUUGACAAGUAGCACUUCAACUGUGUGAAUUUAGUACACAUAAAUUUAACUUGGGGUCUCUCCUCUUCCCAAACUCCCAACCCGAGAUAUCCAUGUGCCUUUAUUUUCACAGUGAUUCAUAAAGCAACAGUUGAAAACAUUUAAAACAGCUUCUGGUGACAAAGUUGUUAAUAUCUUAAUUGACAAGACCUGUUGUAAUGAAUGAGGCCUAGAAAUUCAGUGAUUUUUGACUGGUACAAUACCAAUAAAUACUUUGGUAUCUUUAAAAAGCCUAUACUGCAUAGGAGACACAUUCAUGCACAAAAGACCACUAAUGCUUAAUAAAUUAUGUGUUUCUUUCUAUGCUUAUUUUCAGUAGUGUGGACUUUAUAAACUAGCUGCUUAUCUUCUGAGCUGACACAAUGAACCAAGAAGCAACAUGAUGCUCGUUUGUAAGCAGCACUUCUUUUCUCUGUGUUCCCUCCUUUUGAGAAGGGAUUAUCCUGAAUUAUCCUGUAGCCACAAAACCAGUACAGUACAGAAAGGUUCUAGAAUAUGUAAUUACAAAGGCACUUC